UACGGGGGGGGCAAGCGUUGUUCGGAAUUACUGGGCGUAAAGGGCUCGUAGGCGGCCAACUAAGUCAGACGUGAAAUCCCUAGGCUCAACCUAGGAACUGCGUCUGAUACUGGAUGGCUUGAAUCCGGGAGAGGGAUGCAGAAUUCCAGGUGUAGCGGUGAAAUGCGUAGAUAUCUGGAGGAAUACCGGUGGCGAAGGCGGCAGCCUGGACCGGCAUUGACGCUGAGGAGCGAAAGCCAGGGGAGCAAACGGG
rnacentral:rRNA from 1 species